rnacentral:misc_RNA from 1 species
AGCGAUUUCUCUUUCUCCCUCUUUCUGUUCCCCUCUUAUGGUUUCUUUCUGAGACGGAGUUAAGUGGAGGGGGCCGGCGACUCACGUAACUCGGGCGAGUUAUGGGUUGUUGCCAAUCUUCCUUCUUGAGAGUAUCCGUCUCCCAGGAAAAGGCCUCUAACGACAACAACUAUCUUCAUCAGUCGCAGAAUCACCACCCUUCUCACCCGGCCAACGGUACCGACCCUGCCUCCGCUGCUUCCGGAGGUUUUUGUGGUUUCACCGAGUUUUCCCUCGCUGACCUAAAAGCUGCCACCAAUAGCUUUAGCCCCGAGUUCAUCGUUUCAGAAAGCGGUGAGAAGGCUCCCAAUGUCGUCUAUAAAGGCCGUCUACAGAACCAAGAAAAUCGCACUUGGAUCGCUGUCAAGAAAUU